UGAAGAGCAUGGUGAUGAACUAUCCCCCAUACACACACACUUUGUCUCCUUCAUUCGGAUCCUGCAGAGCAGAACACGAGAUGAGGGGAAGCGCAGGAUUCAUGGGGGACGAAGGUUUACAGCACAGGCCGUACGGUGGAGACGCCACAUUCACAGACAGCUACAGGCCUCCUCAUUCAGGCUCAGUGGUCCUCCCUCCGGUGUCCUCGUCUCCAUCUGCAGGUCUCAGGUCGCUCCAGCGCAGCCGGCUGCAGGUCUUCCAGGAGCAGCUGAGCCUCAGUCUGCAGCCACAGCCGCUGGAGGGUCUGCAGGGUCUGGAGCGUCUGGAGGGUCUGCAGGGUGCGGCCUCAGACGGGGAGCACAGUCAGGGCUCGGUGUCUCCGGCUGCCAGCGGGUUCUCCAGUCCCCACAGCGGCAGCUCCAUCAGCAUCCCGUUCCCCAGCGUCCUGCCAGAGCUGCAGACCCGCGCCGGCGUCACACUGCCCCCCACAGAUCAGCUCUCCAACAAGCAGCUGACGGCCAAGUUUGUCCAGGACACCUCAAAGUACUGGUACAAGCCGGACAUCGCCCGAGAGCAAGCUAUAGCGCUGCUCAAGGACAAAGAGCCCGGAACCUUCAUCGUGCGAGACAGUCACUCGUUCCGCGGCGCGUACGGACUGGCCAUGAAAGUGUCCACGCCACCGCCGUCCGCAUUACAGCAGAGCAGGAGAGGUGGUGAUCUGUCCAGUGAGCUGGUGCGUCAUUUCCUGAUCGAGUGCACUCCGCGGGGUGUUCGGCUCAAGGGCUGCCCUAAUGAACCCUACUUCGCCUGUAACGUCUGGUUCCUGGGCUCGGUGGAGAUGGAGUCUCUGACGGGGGAUCAGGCUAUACAGAAGGCCAGCGCCGAGAUCCUGAGCGCAGACUCACUCCCGGCCUGCACACUCGUACACUUCAAAGUGUCCUCGCAGGGAAUCACACUGACCGACAACCAGAGAAAGCUGUUCUUCAGACGACACUACGCCGUCAGCAGUGUGAUAUUCUGCGCUGUGGACCCGCAGGACAGGAGGUGAGCGCUGCUGUUCCUCUCUCAGUGUUCUGCUGCUCUGCUGUGAUGCUCAUGAUCCUCCGUCUUUCUUUCACAGG